rnacentral:rRNA from 1 species
GAUGAACGCUGGCGGCGUGCCUAAUACAUGCAAGUCGAACGAAACUUCUUUAUCACCGAGUGCUUGCACUCACCGAUAAAGAGUUGAGUGGCGAACGGGUGAGUAACACAUGGGCAACCUGCCCAAAAGAGGGGGAUAACACUUGGAAACAGGUGCUAAUACCGCAUAACCAUAGUUACCGCAUGGUAACUAUGUAAAAGGUGGCUAUACUACCGCUUUUGGAUGGGCCCGCGGCGCAUUAGCUAGUUGGUAGGGUAAAGGCUUACCAAGGCAAUGAUGCGUAGCCGAAUUGAGAGGUUGAUCGGCCACAUUGGGACUGAGACACGGCCCAAACUCCUACGGGAGGCAGCAGUAGGGAAUCUUCCACAAUGGGCGAAAGCCUGAUGGAGCAACGCCGCGUGGGUGAAGAAGGUCUUCGGAUCGUAAAACCCUGUUGUUAGAGAAGAAAGUGCGUGAGAGUAACUGUUCACGUUUCGACGGUAUCUAACCAGAAAGCCACUGCUAACUACGUG